CUUUCGUCGAAGUUGCCGGAUACCGCGUAAAUGUUUCACUGCUUUAGACGUUUCCGAGCAGGAAGUAGGUGUUGAAGAUUUAGUUUCCAGCGGCGUGGACGAGAGGAAAAGGAUUUUUAAGUACUCCAGCCAUCGACGGAAACCCGCAGGAAAGUGGAAAUCGACCGUGGGGGAUCAGACAAUUUCCUUUCCCGUCGAAGUAACGCCCACUCUUGGCUUCUUCGUUUCUCUCUUUCUAACCGACGAAACUUGCGAGUUUACUUUAAGAACCGGCCCCGGCUUUCGUACUUAAGCACGAUACCGGCUCAAGAAGUUGACAGAGAACUGUUUUCCUCUUAUUUUGUAUCGGGAACGAGCGAUCCGAUGAAUCUGCAAUUUUAUAAGCUUCUCGGUGUCUUCCUGUUGUUGCUGCACGAGCUGGCAAUUAUUGCAACAUGGUGUCUAACGUAAGUCAUAGCUGUACCUGGAAAGGAAAGAAUUUUUCACAAUGAAGAAUAACGUAGCUGCUGCUGCAUUUGUGCGCCAUAUAUGUAUUUAACAGAACAUGGUUGGGCAAAUAUACCAUUGCAUUCUGUUUCUGAUUACACCAAGGACAGAAGCAAGGACAAUAUGCAAGAAAAGAGAUUUUUAAUAAAGCCGGAUCUUAUACGAG